CCUACGGGUGGCAGCAGUGAGGAAUAUUGGUCAAUGGACGAGAGUCUGAACCAGCCAAGUAGCGUGAAGGAUGACUGCCCUAUGGGUUGUAAACUUCUUUUAUAUGGGAAUAAAAUGUUCCACGUGUGGGAUUUUGUAUGUACCAUAUGAAUAAGGAUCGGCUAACUCCGUGCCAGCAGCCGCGGUAAUACGGAGGAUCCGAGCGUUAUCCGGAUUUAUUGGGUUUAAAGGGUGCGUAGGUGGGUUGUUAAGUCAGUUGUGAAAGUUUGCGGCUCAACCGUAAAAUUGCAGUUGAAACUGGCAGUCUUGAGUACAGUAGAGGUGAGCGGAAUGCGUGGUGUAGCGGUGAAAUGCUUAGAUAUCACGAAGAACUCCGAUUGCGAAGGCAGUUCACUGGACUGUAACUGACACUGAGGCUCGAAAGUGUGGGUAUCAAACAGGAUUAGAUACCCUUGUAGUC
rnacentral:rRNA from 1 species